GUAACAGAGUUUUAAUGAAGACAGAAUUUGUAGAUACUCAUGCCCUGACGAAACCGAAUGUGAUCCCACCUGAAGACAGCCAACAUACUUAUCAAAGGGAAACAAUCAGCCAUGAGCUAAAGAAGUUCAGACAUCACUGGCUGGACAGCACUGACACAGUAACGGGCACCUCUUAGAAGCCAGGACCAGAAAACCCAUCACCAGGCAAUGAGAAGCAAUUUUUCCGCUGCGGUAAAGGAGAAGCUGGAAUAUUAAGUCCUAACAUAAAAGAAAUCUGCAGUCUUUAUAUGUACACUAUCUGAAAAGGGCUAUGUUGAAGUCUCCCUAUCGAACAUCACAGAUAACAUGGAGCUUUAUCUAUUUUUAGUAGACAUGAACCCAGGAAAGCACUGUAUGAAAAUCACCAAAGAAACAUGGCUAGUGGAAAAAGCUGAAAUCUCCAAAGGGUAAGACAGAAAAACACAUAUGUAAAAAAAUUAUUUCAUGAAUCCCUUCCUCCACCCUGUUUCUAGCAUAGUUAACCUCACCUGAAUUGUUUUUGCUUGUGCACUGCUGCAGCUACCAAAGCCAAGAGGCCGGCUCUAAUUAGAGCCCUUGAAAGUUGUCUUACUGCCUGCAAAGGCUGGCAAAAGAGAUUUAAGCACUACAUGAGACUUCAGUACACAUACUAAAGAUGUGGUUAUGGUGUUUUUUUCUUGUGAACACACAUUCCAUUAAAAAAUAAUGAACCCUAUACUCAAGAAACAUUCAGGAAAUUACAGUGUAUAGACUACAUUUAGGAUUUUUGAUGUUUUUGCAGUAUGAGAUCGUAUUUUCAUGUCUGGGGCAUCUCUGCUAUUCUGGAGAAGAACAGCUGACCCUCACUGUACCACACCCUUUAGUAUCUGCUCAGAGCUUUUGAAGGGAGGGCAGUGGUCAUUGACAAAUCUUGCACCCCCUUUCCUACCACCCUGACUAAAGUCCCUUUUUCCAAGCAGAAUUUCAUAGGUUUCACUAUGAAUAAAGGUUAAUCUCACCCAGCA
rnacentral:lncRNA from 1 species